rnacentral:rRNA from 1 species
CAACGUAAACAACCUGCCUUAAGGAUGGGGAUAACAGACGGAAACGACUGCUAAUACCGAAUACGUUCUAAGCAUCGCAUGAUGCAUAGAAGAAAGGGUGGCCUCUACAAGAAAGCUAUCGCCUUAAGAGGGGUUUGCGACUGAUUAGGUAGUUGGUGAGGUAACGGCUCACCAAGCCGACGAUCAGUAGCCGACCUGAGAGGGUGACCGGCCACAUUGGGACUGAGACACGGCCCAA